rnacentral:lncRNA from 1 species
UGGACAUAUCUCAAUUCCCUUAAAGCUUAAUAACUCUUAAGCAUGCCCUAUUGAUAUAUUUCAGAUAAUAAAAUGAAGCUUGAAGAGAUUAAGUUACACGUAUAGCAUCACAUGCCUAAUAGAAGACAGAAUUAGAAUUGCAAUUCAAGACUAAAUAUAUCACAUGCUAAAUAAAAACUGCACUCAGUAUUAUAGCAGAUUGCUUCACAGCUAAUUAUGAGUAAAGUAGUUCUUAUUAGAAACACAUACACACAAGCACAAUUACUUCCCUUCAUAUAGCCCAUGACAUGGGAAGUGCACUUGAUCAAACAAAGGCUGUUAAGUUUGCUGCUGGAAGAUAAGAGGACUUAUAAACUGUUAAUCAAAACUUUGAUGGAUAAAUGAAAAUUUGACCUUUCUAUUUGUCAUUGUUGUCAUCACUACCAUUGUCUUCGUCUUCAUUAUUAUCAAGAUCCUAGGCACAAUAACCACAGUGUUUCCACACAGUGGGCAAGGCACUGUGUAAUCACUAUGUCUGCUCCAUCUUAUCUCACCUCCAAAUAGCUUACUCACUGGUAGAACCUCCAUAUACUUGUGUACUGAAAAUACAUUGCCCACUAUGGGUACAGCAUCAAAAGAAGUCCCUCUAAAGAUUGAAUAACUGAGGCUUGAUAGAGUUACAUCACUUGUCCAAAGAGAUAAUGCCAGUGAAUGGAAUAGCCAGAUCGAAUUCCAGAAUCCGUAAAGCUCCACUGCUUCUCUCUGAAUCUAUGAGCCUGAAACAGCAGAUUCAGUAGAACAGAGUUUCUCAGGAAUGGCAGAGCCACAAGUUGGGAGGAGCCCAGCUCUGUCCAACAACCUGGAACAUCCAUCAACCAGGAAAACUGUUGCACUUUAUGUGAUUAAGAAACAUUUUUUAAGGAAAAAAGCAGUAAAUUUUUGGGUUAUAUUUGUUGCAAUAGCUGUGUUACUUUCCUAAUGCACAAUCACAAAUGUAAAAUGCCACACACAGAGUGUGAGGAAAUAUAUUGCUAUUGGACUACUUGUAGUCUAUUUAAUUUUUUUAUAUAGCUAUAGCCAGAUCUGGGGUGAAAUGGUUUAGAAUAAUAAUUUCCAAUAGUAUACAUCAUACCUUUAAAAAGACUUUUAUGGAUGGAUAAAUAUCUAAUUAUGGAACUGCCCUGCAACGUAAGUGGUGAGAGAAACUCUUUAUAUAUGCUUUGUUUUUUUCUGAAUGCAUAGGUUCAGAAUUAUUAAACAAAUCCUCAUCUUUUGACAGCCAGUAAUCAAUUUCUCAUUUGCAGGGAAUCUAAUUGCAUUAGAGGGGACACUGGGGAAGUUAUGGACUACCUCAUCUUUCUACUAUAAAAAAUGAAACUACUUGUCUGUAUUGAAUUUGAUUUUAUAUGUUCAAUGAAAUAUAUCAUAUCCUUAUAAUAAAGUUAUAUAAGUUGCAAUGACUAUCUUUACAAGGUUUUCUUAUCAGAACAUUCCUUAAUUAUUUUAAA